rnacentral:piRNA from 1 species
AAAGCCGCAGUUCUCCCGUGAGAGG